rnacentral:rRNA from 1 species
CAGCCGCCGCGGGAAUACAGAGGGUGCGAGCGUUAAUCGGAUUUACUGGGCGUAAAGCGUGCGUAGGCGGCUAAUUGAGUCGGAUGUGAAAUCCCCGAGCUUAACUUGGGAAUUGCAUUCGAUACUGGUUAGCUAGAGUGUGGGAGAGGAUGGUAGAAUUCCAGGUGUAGCGGUGAAAUGCGUAGAGAUCUGGAGGAAUACCGAUGGCGAAGGCAGCCAUCUGGCCUAAUACUGACGCUGAGGUACGAAAGCAUGGGGAGCAAACAGGAUUAGAUACCCGCGUAGUCCCUGUCUCUUAUAC